rnacentral:rRNA from 1 species
GACGAACGCUGGCGGCGUGCCUAAUACAUGCAAGUUGAGCGCUGAAGGUUGGUACUUGUACCAACUGGAUGAGCAGCGAACGGGUGAGUAACGCGUGGGGAAUCUGCCUUUGAGCGGGGGACAACAUUUGGAAACGAAUGCUAAUACCGCAUAAAAACUUUAAACACAAGUUUUAAGUUUGAAAGAUGCAAUUGCAUCACUCAAAGAUGAUCCCGCGUUGUAUUAGCUAGUUGGUGAGGUAAAGGCUCACCAAGGCGAUGAUACAUAGCCGACCUGAGAGGGUGAUCGGCCACAUUGGGACUGAGACACGGCCCAAACUCCUACGGGAGGCAGCAGUAGGGAAUCUUCGGCAAUGGACGAAAGUUUGACCGAGCAACGCCGCGUGAGUGAAGAAGGUUUUCGGAUCGUAAAACUCUGUUGGUAGAGAAGAACGUUGGUGAGAGUGGAAAGCUCAUCAAGUGACGGUAACUACCCAGAAAGGGACGGCUAACUACGUG